rnacentral:lncRNA from 1 species
AUCCAGAACAGGCAAAUUAAUAGAGACAGAAAACAGACUAGUUGCUGCCAGGGGCUGAGGGCAGCAGAAAAUGGGAGUGACUGCUUAAUGGGCAUUGGAAUGAACAAGUUCUGGAAAUAGUGGUGAUGGUUGCACAACAUUGUGAAUGUACUUAAUGCCACUGAAUUGUAUACUUUAAAAAGGUUAUGACGGUAAGCUUUAUGUUAUGUGUAUUUUACCACAAUAAAAGAGACAAUAAAUGCUUCAAAGGCAUGAUUUAAAUUAGUUUUACUAGUUCAUUUUAUUUCAGAAAUCGGUGUUUACAUUGUCUAA